CACAGCUCGGCGUCGCCGCCGCCCACAGGCAACGUAAUGCCUGUAUCAUCACCGGCAGCGUCGUAGGACGACGCGUACCUAGCCAGGAACUCCUCCUGGGUGAGGUCGGCGAACUCAUUCUCGCCGAGCUCGUAGGUGAGGUCGCCGCGCCGGUUGGUGGCCUCGAUGUACUCCACGUUGUCGCGGUACACCUGGAAGCGACGCAGCCUCUCCUCCGUGCUCAGGUACGUCCGGU
rnacentral:lncRNA from 1 species